rnacentral:rRNA from 1 species
AUUGAACGCUGGCGGCAUGCUUUACACAUGCAAGUCGAACGGUAACAGGCCUUCGGGUGCUGACGAGUGGCGAACGGGUGAGUAAUGCAUCGGAACGUGCCCAGAGGUGGGGGAUAACGCAGCGAAAGCUGUGCUAAUACCGCAUGUGACCUGAGGAUGAAAGCGGGGGACCAGGCAGCAAUGUUUGGCCUCGCGCCUUUGGAGCGGCCGAUGUCAGAUUAGGUAGUUGGUGGGGUAAAGGCCUACCAAGCCGACGAUCUGUAGCUGGUCUGAGAGGACGACCAGCCACACUGGGACUGAGACACGGACCAGACUCCUACGGGAGGCAGCAGUGGGGAAUUUUGGACAAUGGGCGCAAGCCUGAUCCAGCAAUGCCGCGUGCGGGAAGAAGGCCUUCGGGUUGUAAACCGCUUUUGUACGGAACGAAAAGGCUCUGGCUAAUACCUGGGGCUGAUGACGGUACCGUAAGAAUAAGCACCGGCUAACUACGUG